ACUGCCUCCACGGCCGCUCGCCUCCUUUUUCCGCCGCCACCACCUCUCUCUCCUCACGGGCUGCAUCCCGUACUACCACCAGCAGCGAAAGGGGGAGGUGCAGGAGAGCUGUGAGGAGGAGGAGGAGGAGGAGGAGGGAGGGGCGAAGCAGCUGGAGGUCCGACAGCGGCGGGGGUCGGACGGCAGCCGGGCCUCUCAUGGCUGGACAAGGCAGCGAUGUGCGGAGCGAAGCAGCGGGGACUGUCAUGGAUGGACGAGCUCUCUGCAAAGCCAUGGACUUGUUGUUGCCAACCCGCACCGGCCUCCUCCCUCCUCUCUCUGCACCCUCUUGAGCUUUCCCUUUUUAUUUUGAUGUAUGUAUACUCCUGGUCAUGUUGAAGAUCGAGGGUUUGUAUUGCUUCUAGGCCAAGAAGCUGAGAGGGGCUUUCUUCUUCGAGUCGCCGGAACCAAGCGACAAGGUGCUGCCGGUCUGCUAUGUGUUCUUCACUAAAUCCUCCAGAAAGAAGAGGACCAGCGACACCUUCAAGGGCAGCAGCCAACAUUGAGAACGGUAUGUUCUUAAAUUCUCGAUGAAGAGGAUUUUGGAGAUAGUGCCACCGGUGCUCAGUGCCAUUAAUUAACUGCAGCAGGAGAACAUGGAUUAUUAAUGGGGUUUGCAAUCUAGCUUGGUUACAAAGCCUCUUAAUUCCUGGUCCUAUGUUUGAUAGCAUAGUGCUUAAAUUUUGAUUAGUGUGGGUGACUGAAUUCUUGUAGUCAUGCAUAAUGCAGCUGGAGUUUUUGAAACGUGGUGGAAAAUUAUUUGUAUUUUUAUCGAUGUAGUUUAGUACCGCUCAAUUGGACAUGUGAAUUUAGACGGAUUACCCCCACAAGGAACAGACACAACUCGUCUAAUUACUUUACUAUGAACCAGCUUCCAUGGGUGAUACGUCCCAAAAGUAUCUAUAAUUUCUUA